UGCACUACUCCAAGCCAAGGCAAUGAAAUCUUGUUCUCAUGAGCACUGUACUGUGUAAAUUUGAAUGACAAGUAAACUGUGUCUAAUUCUAAGUCUAAAACUAUUACCACAUGUAAAGCAUAAUUCUGUACAGUGCUUUGACUUAAAUGAACCUCAGCUCUAUGUGUGUCCGUGUCCAGGAAGAAUACGCCCACCUUAAGGAGCUCUACAGCUUUAGAGGACCCAGCUCUGAUGCCGAUCAGGAAGAGCUGGAGGAGUGUGUCAGUGGGCGUACACAUCAGUUAGAGGACCUGGAGGCAGCCUUUGCUGAUCUGUUAGAGGACGAUGGAGAAGAGAAUGUUUCACGCUGGGCCAAGAACCCUGGGAUGGCCUCAUUCGCUGCAUUGGUUUUAGUUUGAAGUCCAGAAACUCAAGUCCAGACUAUGAGAUGGUCCAUCAGGCCGGUUUAACCUGUGACACCGUCGAGCUGCCGCAUCACAUCAGCAGUGAUGAGGAGAUCGACAGACUCAUCUCUGCGGUGCAGCUGUUUCUCAAAGCUCUGCCCAAACCCACCUGGUGACCAUGUCCAGGUCCAGUCUGGACGAGUACUGCCCGGCAGAACAGGUGGCUUCUGUCCAGAGUCGAGUUCUGUCGGUACUGGAAGACCUGUACGGACAACUGGACGUACACGAGGACUAUGAAAGCAGCAGCACGGACACUCGGGACUGCCAACCUCAGGCCUCACGACUGAGACUGCACUGAAUCCUGAAGAUAUGCAUCUGAUCUGCAGCAGCUGGAAGGGGUUUGGAUCUGGUGACGUCAUGAUACUGUAUGAACUGCGAAACAUCCAUCAGUGUGCUGUCGCUGAAUAUGGUCUUGUUUACAAGUACAAUAGUGGUGUAUUUUAAGGUUUUUUGUGAAAGCACUUGGACUGAGGAUCACACUGUUUAGUUGUAAAUAAAGCCAAAUACUUGAAAAUUAAA